rnacentral:rRNA from 1 species
AACGAACGCUGGCGGCGUGCCUAACACAUGCAAGUCGUGCGAGAAAGUUCCUUCGGGUCUAGUGGCGCACGGGUGCGUAACGCGUGGGAACCUGCCUUUAGGUUCGGAAUAACUCAGAGAAAUUUGAGCUAAUACCGGAUAAUGUCUUCGGACCAAAGAUUUAUCGCCUUUAGAUGGGCCCGCGUAAGAUUAGCUAGUUGGUGGGGUAAAGGCCUACCAAGGCGACGAUCUUUAGCUGGUCUGAGAGGAUGAUCAGCCACACUGGGACUGAGACACGGCCCAGACUCCUACGGGAGGCAGCAGUGGGGAAUAUUGGACAAUGGGCGAAAGCCUGAUCCAGCAAUGCCGCGUGAGUGAUGAAGGCCUUAGGGUUGUAAAGCUCUUUUACCCGAGAUGAUAAUGACAGUAUCGGGAGAAUAAGCUCCGGCUAACUCCGUGCCAGCAGCCGCGGUAAU